UACGUAGGGACCGAGCGUUGUCCGGAUUCAUUGGGCGUAAAGAGCUCGUAGGCGGUUUGUCGCGUCUGGUGUGAAAACUCGAGGCUCAACCUCGAGCUUGCAUCGGGUACGGGCAGACUAGAGUGCGGUAGGGGAGACUGGAAUUCCUGGUGUAGCGGUGGAAUGCGCAGAUAUCAGGAGGAACACCGAUGGCGAAGGCAGGUCUCUGGGCCGCAACUGACGCUGAGGAGCGAAAGCGUGGGGAGCGAACAGG
rnacentral:rRNA from 1 species